GACGAAGGUGGCGAGCGUUGUUCGGAAUCACUGGGCAUAAAGCGCACGUAGGUGGUGUCGUAAGUCGGGUGUGAAAUCCCUCGGCCUAACCGAGGAACUGCGCCCGAUACUGCGAUGCUUGAGGAUCAGAGGGAUGCGGAAUUCCAGGUGUAGCGGUGAAAUGCGUAGAUAUCUGGAGGAACACCGGUGGCGAAGGCGGCAUCCUGGACCGGCAUUGACGCUGAGGAGCGAAAGCCAGGGGAGCAAACGGG
rnacentral:rRNA from 1 species